UAUUAAAUGGGUAUGUCCCAUUUAACCACACAGACAUUCAACCUCUAUCGUCUGUCUGACAACCAACACCCCACUGACCACACAGACAUUCCAUCCUCUAUCUAUCGCUGCCUGACAAACCAACACCCACUGACCACACAGACAUCAAUCCUCUAUCUAUCGUCUCCUGACAAAACCACACCCACUGACCACACAGACAUUCAAUCCUCUAUCGUCUGUCUGACAAACCAACACCCCACUGACCACACAGACAUUCAACCCUCUAUCGUCUGUCUGACAAACCCACACCCCACUGACCACACAGACAUUCAACCCUCUAUCGUCGUCCUGACAACCCAACACCUCACUGACACACACAGACAUUCAACCCUCUAUCUAUCUAUCGUCUGCCUGACAAACCAACACCUCACGACACACAGACAUUCAACCCUCUACGUCUGUCUGACAAACCAACACUAUCUAUCGUCUGUCUGA
rnacentral:lncRNA from 1 species